UACGAAGGGGGCUAGCGUUGCUCGGAAUUACUGGGCGUAAAGCGCACGUAGGCGGGUUCUUAAGUCGGUGGUGAAAUCCUGGAGCUCAACUCCAGAACUGCCUUCGAAACUGGGAAUCUUGAGUCCGGGAGAGGUGAGUGGAACUGCGAGUGUAGAGGUGAAAUUCGUAGAUAUUCGCAAGAACACCAGUGGCGAAGGCGGCUCAACUGGCCCGGUACUGACGCUGAGGUGCGAAAGCGUGGGGAGCAAACAGGG
rnacentral:rRNA from 1 species